UAGUCCACGCCGUAAACGAUGGAUACUAGCUGUCGGGACUUCGGUCUCGGCGGCCAAGCGAAAGUGAUAAGUAUCCCACCUGGGGAGUACGUUCGCAAGAAUGAAACUCAAAGGAAUUGACGGGGGCCCGCACAAGCGGUGGAGCAUGUGGUUUGAUUCGAUGAUACGCGAGGAACCUUACCUAGGCUCUAAUGCGCGCGCAAUCCUGUGAAAGCAGAAGUUCCUUCGGGACGCAAAGCAAGGUGCUGCAUGGUUGUCGUCAGCUCGUGCCGUGAGGUGUUGGGUUAAGUCCCGCAACGAGCGCAACCCCUAUCUUUAGUUGCCAGCACGUAAUGGUGGGGACUCUAGAGAGACUGCCGGCGUAAGCCGCGAGGAAGGUGGGGACGACGUCAAAUCAUCAUGGCCUUUAUGCCUAGGGCGACACACGUGCUACAAUGGCGUGCACAGAGGGUAGCCAGACCGCGAGGUUGAGCCAAUCCCAGAAAGCACGUCCCAGUUCGG
rnacentral:rRNA from 1 species